UACGGAGGGUGCAAGCGUUAUCCGGAUUCACUGGGUUUAAAGGGUGCGUAGGUGGGAAUGUAAGUCAGUGGUGAAAUCUCCGUGCUUAACACGGAAACUGCCAUUGAUACGAUGUUUUCUUGAAUUUUUCUGGAGGUUAGCGGAAUAUGUCAUGUAGCGGUGAAAUGCUUAGAUAUGACAUAGAACACCAAUUGCGAAGGCAGCUAACUACAGGGAUAUUACACUGAGGCACGAAAAGCGUGGGGGAUCAAAACAGG
rnacentral:rRNA from 1 species